UAAAGAAUCUUUCGCAAUGGGGGAAACCCUGACGAAGCAACACCGCGUGAUUGAUGAAGUCCGUAAGGGCGUAAAAAUCUUUUCUGGGAGAUUAAUUUUGAAAGUAUCCUAGGAAUAAGCACCUGCUAACUACGUGCCAGCAGCCGCGGUAAUACGUAGGGUGCAAGCGUUAUCCGGAAUCAUUGGGCGUAAAGCGUUUGUAGGCGGUUUAUUAAGUUGGAUGUAAAAUCUUAAAGCUUAACUUUAAGUUCGUAUUCAAAACUAAUAAGCUCGAGAUUUGCAGAGGUACGUGGAAUUCUGUGUGUAGGGGUUAAAUCCGUUGAUACACAGAGGAACACCAAAAGCGAAGGCAACGUACUGGGCAAUUUCUGACGCUGAGAAACGAAAGCGUGGGGAGCAA
rnacentral:rRNA from 1 species